UACGGAGGGUGCAAGCGUUGUCCGGAAUCACUGGGCGUAAAGGGCGCGUAGGCGGCCUGGUAAGUGGGGGGUGAAAUCCUGCGGCUUAACCGCAGGGCUGCCUUCUAAACUGUCAGGCUUGAGCACGGUAGAGGCAGAUGGAAUUCCCGGUGUAGCGGUGGAAUGCGUAGAGAUCGGGAAGAACAUCAGUGGCGAAGGCGGCCUGCUGGGCUGUUGCUGACGCUGAGGCGCGACAGCGUGGGGAGCAAACAGG
rnacentral:rRNA from 1 species